rnacentral:rRNA from 1 species
UACAGAGAGUGCGAGCGUUAUCCGGAAUCAUUGGGCGUAAAGCGUGUGUAGGCGGAGCAGUAAGUCGGGGGUUAAAUCUCUGGGCCCAACCCAGAAUCUGUUCCCGAAACUAUUGUUCUUAGGAGUAUGCAGAGGCAAGUGGAAUUCUGUGUGUAGGGGUAAAAUCCGUAGAUACACGGAGGAACACCAAAAGCGAAGGCAGCUUGCUGGGCAUAUCUUGACGCUGAGACACGAAAGCGUGGGUAGCAAACAGG